AGGGGUAUAGCUCAGUGGUAUGGUGCAUGCUUAGCAUGCAUGAGGUCCUGGGUUCAAUCCCCUGUACCUCCA
rnacentral:tRNA from 1 species